ACGCAAUAGAUACCCCGGUAGUCCACGCCCUAAACGAUGUCUACUAGUUGUCGGGUCUUAAUUGACUUGGUAAACGCAGCUAAACGCGUGAAGUAGACCGCCUGGUGAGUACGGUCGCAAGAUUAAAACUCAAAGGAAUUGACGGGGACCCGCACAAGCGGUGGAUGAUGUGGAUUAAAUUCGAUGCAACGCGAAAAACCUUACCUACCCUUGACAUGGAUGGAAUCCUUGAGAGAUUGAGGAGUGCCCGAAAGGGAACCAUUACACAGGUGCUGCAUGGCUGUCGUCAGCUCGUGUCGUGAGAUGUUGGGUUAAGUCCCGCAACGAGCGCAACCCUUGUCAUUAGUUGCUACGAAAGGGCACUCUAAUGAGACUGCCGGUGACAAACCGGAGGAAGGUGGGGAUGACGUCAAGUCCUCAUGGCCCUUAUGGGUAGGGCUUCACACGUCAUACAAUGGUACAUACAGAGGGCCGCCAACCCGCGAGGGGAGCUAAUCCCAGAAAGUGUAUCGUAGUCCGGAUUGUAGUCUGCAACUCG
rnacentral:rRNA from 1 species